AACGAACGCUGGCGGCAGGCCUAACACAUGCAAGUCGAACGCUCCGCAAGGGGCGUGGCGCACGGGUGAGUAACACGUGGGAACAUGCCCUUGGGUACGGAAUAACGGAGGGAAACUGCCGAACACACCGUAUGGUGUCUUCGGACCCAAGACUUAUCCACCAAGGAUUGGCCCGCGUCUGAUUAGCUAGUUUGUGGGGUAAUGGCCCACCAAGGCUACGAUCAGUAGCUGGGCUGAGAGGACGCCCAGCCACACUGGGACUGAGACACGGCCCAGACUCCUACGGGAGGCAGCAGUGGGGAAUAUUGGACAAUGGGGGAAACCCUGACCCAGCCAUGCCGCGUGAGUGCUAAGGCCUUCGGGUUGUAAAACUCUUUCGCGAGGGAAGAUAAUGACGGUACCUCGAGAAGAAGCUCCGGCUAACUUCGUGCCAGCCGCCGCAGUAA
rnacentral:rRNA from 1 species